CCCAUUUAGAGACAAAUUUUUUCGCAACGGACCAAUUUUUCGUCUCCCAAACACAUCAUUAGAGACAAAAAAAAUUAUUUUAUCCCUAAAAGUUUUGUUGUUCAAAACUCUCCAUUGAUGCUACUUAGAGACAAAUAAGCUUAAAUUAGAGGCAAAAAAUAUUUGUCCCAAAAUUUAAUUGGGGACGAAAUAUAAUUUUGUCUCCUAUGCGUUUUAGAGUUUGCAAAUAAUUGGUAAAAUUUAAGAGGUUAGUUGCACCGAAUUUCAAAUUUUGGGCAAAAAGAAUUAGGGGUAAAACAUAAUUCUCUACUUUUGUUAGCGGAUUUUUUUUUUUUUCAUCUGGACGGGGUUUAACAAAAGUAAAUAGUGUGCAACAAUUGAUUGGGAUUGAAACGAUGUAGUUUCGAUCUCACAUAUAUUUAGCCUCUCUAUUUAUCUUAGUUUUUCGAACUAUUCAACGAUUACUACUUUGUGAUUUCUCGUACGAACCUCUAAACACCAACAACUCCUAGCAGCAGCGUCUCUGUCAUGCAAUUCGUCUCAUCUAUCUCGACUCUCUAGUUUUUCUUCUCCUCAUUUAGUACCUUAAAUCUUGAACUAGAGCUUUCAGUCUUGCAGAAUUUCAAUUUUUUUAUUAUUUUUUAUUUUUUUAAGUUUUGGUACUGUUAAUCUUUGUUCGUUGAUGUUGUAGUAAGGUUAAAGGCUCGACUAGAAGACACUUGCAUUGUUGACUAAUACUAAGAAUCUAAGAGAACUAUUUUGAAAAUCCGGAUUCUAGAUCAUCUUUUAUAUGAAAAGAGUGUUUUUUUGUUGAUGACAUUAUAUGAAAAGAGUUUAAUGUAUUUAGGGUAUUAAAAGUCUUUUAUUUUAAUUACUUUAUCUAUUAAAAAUGAGGUGUUUAUUGGUCAAAAUAUAAUUUUUUACGUAAAUACCCCUCAUAGAUGUACUAUGAAAACCACGUUAAUGGAAGAGGAUAAACAAGUAAAAUUAUAAGUAAUAAAAAAAAUAAAGGAUAUAUUUUGAUCUUUAUUAAAGUUAUUUUAUUUUAUUUUUAAUAAAGAUAGAAGGAUAAAAUCUCAUCGGGCAAAACACAAAACAGUCGGUGUUCUUGAAAAGGGUCUGGGAGGCGGCCUAGACGGCGCCUAAGCAUUAGGCGUGAUAGCACCGCCCCGACAAUUCAACUCUCUCUCGACUCUCCUCUCACCAGUACCGGCAGCACUUUGCAGUCCCAAGUCCCAACAUCACUCUCCCUCUCCCUCCCUUCCUCCUCUGAUCGGUGAAAACUCAGAACAAAGUCUCUCUCUUUCUUUCAAACCUCUAGUGUUUGCCGGAGUUUCUAUUCAUUUAAUCAUUUAUAACUAUAUGUUGAUUAUCAGGGGUGCCAGGCUUGGCUCAAUAGUCAUCCCACAAGCAGGUUACUCUUUGCUUUGCUUUAUCAGUCUCUAUUUCCAAGCUUUCAGUCCAAAAGACUUGGGCUUUGUUCACCACUUAGUUUAUGACUAUUUUAUCCAUCUGAAAUUGUAAUCAUUUCGAUUUCUUACUGAUUUUUUUUGGAUGCCUGAUAUAUGGGUCUAGUCUUGUUUGCACAAAUUUUGAGCUAUUGGCAUGGAUGUUUCGAUUGCUUAAUCAAGUUCGAUUCUUUAUUAUGGUUUUUGAAAUGAUGAACUGAAAGGGGUUAUGGGCUCUGCGCAUCUAUGUGAAAUAGUGUUGUAUAGAAAUUUGAAUUAGAAAGCUGGCAGCGUGUACGUGCUUCAGUUGAUGGUAGGAAAGAUUGAAUCUUUUGUGAGAUGUAUGAUAUUAAAGAUGAAAUUUGGUUUGGCUGCAUCAGAUGAAAUCUUUGGGUUUUUGGAGGAAUUCAGUUUGUUCUAUUUUAUCUAUGCUUCAGUUUUUCCACAAGAUUAGUGGCUUCUUGCAGCUUUUUAUAGGCAGUUUGUAAAGAACAGCUGCAUUGUUCUACGGUUUUGAGGUUCUUAAACACUUGGUUUGAGUAAUUGGUGUUUGCUUCUUUAGCUUUUACCUUUUUUUUUUUUUUUUUAAGGCUAAUUUUGGCUUAGAUAGUAUGGGUAAGUUCCAAUUACGGAGGUCUCAAGAGUUGAAGAGAAAUUCGGUACUAAGCCUUCGUCCCAGACGGAAGGAGUUGUUCAUUGGCUUCACAAAGGGCUGAGAUGGAGAGAAUGGACAAAUUGGUGAGGGAGUCAGGAGAAGUCGUGCUUGCCAAAGAAUGUUGUCAAAAUCUGGCAAAAAGUUUUAAUCACUCCGCUGGUCGUGCUGGAAAACCAAUUGUGAAAUGGAUUCAGGUGCAAAAUUGGUUCUAGGAAAGGAUGCAAGAGACUUGCCAAACAUAUUAAAAGAUAUCCAGGGAGUUUUGCCCUUCCACUAAGGCACCUAAAAGCAAAGAAAAACCUACAGUUCAUAGAAUUUCCGCAGCGGGAAUUAAAUGCUAUUGAGAAGGACAACGAUGCAUUCAUUGAGGACUUUUCUAAAGAGGACUACAAUGACAUGGUGAAUGGAAGGCAAAGCUGGUUAGGAGUAACUCUAGAGAGCAGAAAUGGGUGGGGCCUCUUCAUUGCCAAGAAGAAAUGAUUAUGAUACCUCAAAGUUUUUCAUAUGCAAAUGCAAUAGUGUACUCGAGUUAGAUAUGCAUUUCAGAUAAACAUUUUAUUCAGUUGCUGGUUUUAUCACAAACUAUGUCGUUGUCUUAUUAGUGUUUGAACUUUUGCCAUCUAUAAUAAUGGAAUUGGGGUUUGUCUUUGCUCAUUUGUAUCUGAAUCUUUGUCAAAUUCAA